rnacentral:tRNA from 1 species
GCCGGUGUGGUGUAGUGGUUUGAGCAUUGGACUACGACUCUGGAGACCAGGGUGCAAAUCCCCACUCAGCCA